GAAUUAAUAUAAUGGAAUGGAACAAUAAUUCUCUCCUCAGAUUACCUGCUGACGGUAAAGGUUCUGGUUCCUCUCCUGGUUUUGAUCGGUUGUUGUGUUUGUCUGUGGUCGUACAGAAACCUGUAAGUCUGCUGAUAUACAGUAUGUGCGGUGAGUGAUGGACUGUACUUCUCUUCUCCGUGGUUCACUGACACUGAUGGCGUCUUUCUCCAUCGUUUCCAGAAUAGGAGGAUUUCCAGAAGAAUCGUUCGGCUUUCUGCACAUAAAAGCACUGGACCUGGAUGAAGAUCUUUAUGAAGCGAGUGAAAAGAUCCGUACUCUGAUGAUAGAGGACUGUGAAUGGUGUGACGUUGAGAUUUUAGACGUGCAGCCCAUCCCAACAGAGAAAACAUGGUUGACGUGCGCAGAGGACCCGAGUUGUUCAUUCAUUACUCCUAAAGUCACGCUACCAUCCUGCCAUCUUACCACAGACGUAUGGCUGGCCACAGAUCUCACAAACUUCACUUACGUGUCCUCUGUGCAGCAAGAUCUGCCUUCAGAGGAGCUGAAGACAGAAGCCACAAAUCAGGAGUCAGAGAUUUCGGGCUUUUCGAGUGACUAUGUCACUUCCGUAGCCACAUAAUUCCUGAAAACGCAGUGUCGUGAUCUUUUAUACACACCAAAGAAAGCAAGCCAGAGCUGUCGAUCUUAUCACGUUCGGCAAGAUCACGACAUCCUCAUGUCACCGGCGUGUUUGUAAGGGGCCCCGCUUCCUUCUGCAAAACAGCUUUUAAAGACAAGAAGUGUUGUGAAAUGCGACUGCAGUGUUUGAUACAUGAGAUUUUGCAAUAUCUGUCAGGUACUUUAUCUUGGUUUUGCAUGUUAUGCUAGACCUUUCUGGGCAAAAACGUACAAAAUGUUCUCUCUCAAGAGAAAAACAUGUUCUGGAGGGGACAUUUGUAUUAUUCUUUUGUGUAUUUCUAAGCUUUAUGGGUAACCCUUUGCGAUACUGUAUGUAUCAUGAAUUAACAAUGUUUUACAGUUAAGAACUUGAAUUGUUAAAAAUGUACUUUACCAUUUGAAAAUUUAGGAC
rnacentral:lncRNA from 1 species